rnacentral:rRNA from 1 species
UAAACUACGAUUAGAUACCCUAUUAUUUUAAAUGUAAAUGUAUAAAACUUGAGUAUUAUGAGUUAUGUUCUUUAAACUUAAAGAAUUUGGCGGUGUUUUAGUCUUUUCAGAGGAACCUGUCCCGUGAUCGAUAAUCCACGCAAUAUCUGACUUAAUUUUGUUUUCAGCUUGUAUACCGCCGUCGUCAGAAUGUCUUUGGAGAGUUUUAAUUUUCUAAAAUUUUUAUUAUAAAUGAUGUCAGGUCAAGGUGCAGUUUAUAAUUAAGUGGAGAUGGGUUACAAUAAAAAUAUUUAUAUGAAUUAUAAUUUGGAAAAAUUAUAUGAAAGUGGAUUUGAUCGUAAUUUAAAUUAUUAAGUUAAUUUGAUUUUAGCUCUAAAACAUGCACACAUCGCCCGUCGCUCUUA